rnacentral:rRNA from 1 species
UACGUAGGGGGCAAGCGUUAUCCGGAUUUACUGGGUGUAAAGGGCGUGCAGCCGGAGAGACAAGUCAGAUGUGAAAUCCACGGGCUCAACCCGUGAACUGCAUUUGAAACUGUUUCCCUUGAGUGUCGGAGAGGUAAUCGGAAUUCCUUGUGUAGCGGUGAAAUGCGUAGAUAUAAGGAAGAACACCAGUGGCGAAGGCGGAUUACUGGACGAUAACUGACGGUGAGGCGCGAAAGCGUGGGGAGCAAACAGG